rnacentral:misc_RNA from 1 species
GAUGAAGAACGUAGCGAAAUGCGAUACGUAAUGUGAAUUGCAAAUUCAGUGAAUCAUCGAGUCUUUGAACGCACAUUGCGCCCCCUGGUAUUCCGGGGGGGCAUGCCUGUCCGAGCGUCAUUGCUGCCCUCAAGCACGGCUUGUGUGUUGGGCCCCGUCCUCCGAUCCCGGGGGACGGGCCCGAAAGGCAGCGGCGGCACCGCGUCCGGUCCUCGAGCGUAUGGGGCUUUGUCACCCGCUCUGUAGGCCCGGCCGGCGCUUGCCGAUCAACCCAAAUUUUUAUCCAGGUUGACCUCGGAUCAGGUAGGGAUACCCGCUGAACUUAAGCAUAUCAAUAAGCGGAGGA